rnacentral:lncRNA from 1 species
CAUUUUAGAACUAACACCAAGUAACUCUAAUUUACUAAAUAACAAUGCUCUAUUUAUAGUAUCGUAUGCCUUUUUAAAGUCAAUAAAAGCAGCAUAUGUAGACUGUUUACGUAGUUUUCUAGACUCUAUUAUACUAGUUAUAGACAAAAGGUGAUCAAUGGUGUUACGAUCUUUUCGGAAACCAUUCUGCUCAUCAUGGAUAAUAUCCGAUGCAUCAAACUUUUCCCGCAAACGACAGUCAAGAACACCACAGUACAACUUGUAAGUAGCUGGAGCUAAAGUUAUUCCACGAUAUGAAAGAGGAUCUCUGGGGUCAGACGACGAACAUUUCGGUACUGGUACAAUUACACCUUUGGCCCAUAGAACAGGGACCUUUCCCGUAUUGUAACACACAUUAAACAAACGAACUAAAAAUGAUAAAGCAGUUUGGUUUUUCAACACUUCUACUGGUAGCUCAUCAAGACCGGGCGCCUUCCCA